UUAACCUUGAAUGUUUUCAAGAAUUAUUCUAAUUUCUAUAACCAACCCCAAGCUUCAUAGCUAUGUAAAGACAGCAGAUCAAGAAAGUCAUGUCCCUAAAAGACUUAGUAAAUAAGUAACACUUUGCUUUCAGAAGACCUGGCAGGAACCUGGAAGGAUGGCAGGCAUGCUGGUUAACCCACAGCACCUACUGGACAGCGUCUGUCAAAGUAACUCUGCAUACAUUUUUUAAGGAAAAAUCCUGGGUAGUGUGAAAUAUUUUGCUAGUCCUAUAAAGAGGGGGAAACCCACCUGUUGGAGAAAGGGAACGUUAACAUCAUCUUUUUUUCUGUCACAGCAGAUGGUAAGGAGGACAGGUGUGUGUAAAUAUUCACAUCAGUAAGGUUACGGUGCGAAGGAGGGGACACACAUGCUGGUGACGUCUCGAAUGUGUGUAAUCCCCUUCUGAGGUGUCCAGCCAAGAGCAAGAAGUAGUGCUUGGGGGCUAACCCACAGAAAGGUCAGUUUACCACUACAGUAAGUGGGAAGAAGCUUCCUUUCAGAGUUCUAGGUCUCAUUUAGUUUAUAAAAGGGCACUUUGGGUACAGAUGGGUACAGAGGUCACAACACUAAAGAUUUUACUCCUGGUAAGAAUUUGAGAGAAGGAAUCUGG
rnacentral:lncRNA from 1 species